UGAAUACGAGAUGCUACGGCGUCGAAGCAGUGUAUGUCAGACUUCCAAGAAAAGCUCGCAAUGUCAUAAAUAAAGAAUGCCUGUACCAUAACCGACACAGGUGGGUAGGUAGAGUAUACUAAGGGGCGCGAGAUAACUCUCUCUAAGGAACUCGGCAAAAUAACUCCGUAACUUCGGGAGAAGGAGUGCCUUCUUUAAGAAGGUUGCAAUAACAAGAUCCAAGCAACUGUUUAUCAAAAACACGGGUCUCCGCUAAGUCGUAAGACGAUGUAUGGGGGCUGACGCCUGCCCAGUGCCAGAAGGUUAAAGAAGCUGGUUAGCAAUAGCGAAGCUGGUGACUGAAGCCCUGGUGAACGGCGGCCGUAACUAUAACGGUCCUAAGGUAGCGAAAUUCCUUGUCGGGUAAGUUCCGACCCGCACGAAAGGCGUAAUGAUUUGGAUACUGUCUCGGAGAGGGACUCGGUGAAAUAGACUUGUCUGUGAAGAUGCGGACUACCUGCACCAGGACAGAAAGACCCUAUGAAGCUUUACUGUAACCUGAAAUUGAAAUUGGACUUUAUUUGCGCAGUAUAGGUGGGAGGCGUUGAAAGUAAUCUUGCGGGAUUAGUGGAGCCAUCAGUGAGAUACCACUCCUAUAAUGUUAGAUUUCUAACUUUGGAUCAUGAUCUGGUCAAAGAACAGUUUCAGGCGGGCAGUUUGACUGGGGCGGUCGCCUCCCAUAUGGUAACGGAGGCGUACAAAGGUUUCCUCUGAACGGGUAGAAAUCGUAUCUAGAGUGUAAAGGCAUAAGGAAGCUUGACUGUGAGACCUACGAGUCGAGCAGGGACGAAAGUCGGUCUUAGUGAUCUGACGGUGCUGAGUGGAAAGGCCGUCACUCAACGGAUAAAAGUUACUCUAGGGAUAACAGGCUGAUCUCCCCCAAGAGUUCACAUCGACGGGGAGGUUUGGCACCUCGAUGUCGGCUCAUCGCAUCCUGGGGCGGUAGUACGUCCCAAGGGUUGGGCUGUUCGCCCAUGAAAGCGGUACGCGAGCUGGGUUCAGAACGUCGUGAGACAGUUCGGUCCAUAUCCGGUGUAGGCGUUAGAAUAUUGAGAGGAGCCUUCUCUAGUACGAGAGGACCGAGAAGGACAUACCUCUGGUGUACCAGUUAUCGUGCCAACGGUAAACGCUGGGUAGCUAUGUAUGGAGAGGAUAACCGCUGAAAGCAUCUAAGUGGGAAGCCCACCUCAAGAUGAGUAUCCUC
rnacentral:rRNA from 1 species